GGAGACGUGAUCCAAGCCGCUUCCUGCCUGACAGGAAACGGUGACAGAGCCCUGAUGAGCUUAGUGGUUCUCCAUCUCUGUGGCGAAAACAAACAGGCCGACAAAAAACCUGGACCAGCUCAUCCUCCAGGCUGUUUUGUGAGUAAGAGGGGAGUCUUUAUUGUCCUUUCAGUUGGGAAGCGUUUAGCAGAGAAUCCCUCUGCAAACUCCCACAGCGUGAGCUGGCCUGUCACUUAUAAUCACAGGGCUUGUGAAGUGGUAAUUAAAUUGUGCAACGUGUCUGAGUCGCUCUGAUUGGGAUGUUCUAGCAAAGCAGGCAGGCAGGGCGGAGUUCCCCCGGCUUUCUCUUCCCCCACCCGAAUGGAAAGGUUCCAGGGAGGGAAGGGAGUGUAGCAUGUGAAAGGCUAUUACUGAAUUAACUGGGCACCUGCUGCUGCCAUUCUUCCAGGGCUGUUAAAAAAAACAAAACACCAUGUAAGCAGUUUGCGGCGCACUGAGCUGAGAAUACCCAUCAGGGGAUGCUGCAGCUACAGAGAGCGAAGCUGCAACUUAGCUGGCAGGCUCAGGCUCAAACUUCACAAGGGCCUGGGUCAUCUAUGGUCAUGAUCCCAAAAUAGAUCCAGUUUACUGACCAUCGAUAGUCAAGGCCGGGGUGACUGAGUGAGCACACACCAGAAGACUCAUUCAUGUUGGCAGGUGUUAUCAGCACCCAAGAUAUACUCCCCUUUGACUCAAAGGCAGAAGCAUCUAUGAUUUCAGCUCCCACACAAGAAACUAUGCCUCUUUUGUGACUGGCAACACUGCUAUGUGUGGGGGACUGUAGCAGACCCCCCCCCCAUCUUCAUAUAAUUGCAAAGUUGGUAGGGAAACCACCCCCAGGGCCAUUCCUGCAACGCAGGAAUCUCAGCUAAAUCAUAUCUUGCAAGGGUUCUCAUCAGCAUGUGCGAAACCUGCGUUCUCAUUUUCUGGUUUCUUGUAAUUCAUUUAUUCCUUAUUUUGUUUAUUGUGAAAAGCAUUGCCUGAGAGGGGAUAGAAAAUUGCAAGAAGUAGGGGAAUUCUAAAGAGUAUCCGCUCCCCUUCAUUUUGUCACCACAUACACACUUUGUCUCCAUCCAUGGCAGGCAGCAGGCAAGGGCUGACUGAUGCAAGAAGCUAUGCAAGGCUAGCUACCCAGUCACCACCCUCUAUUGACAUGGAAAAGAGAAAAUCCUGACACUCUGUGCCUCAGGCCAAGUAGCUUUCCGAUGUGCAGAGUCCCCCACCCUAAUGCAAUCAAAGACAACGCCUGAGACCCCACCUGCAUUAUAAAACAGUACCAUACACAUUUAAUGGCUUCCCCAAAUAAUCUUGGAAACUGUAGCUUGUUAAGGGUGCUGAGACACACACACACCCCACUCCCCUCACAGAGCUACUAUCCCCAGAGCUCUGUGGGACGAGGGAUUGACUCUGGGAAUUGUAGCUUGGUGAGGGGAAUAGGGGUAAUUCUUGCUAUCUUUAAACUACAGUUCCCAGACUGCAGCCAUGGCUGUUUAAAGUGCUGUAACGUUACAUUUAUAGUGCAGCUGGGGCCUGAGAGCCUGGAAUUAUUCUUUGAAUUCCAGCUACCCACCACCAACACACCAAGCAUCUCUUAUGCUAGCCUGUUUCUCCUGCUGCGUUACAGGAGUCUGUCCCAUCAGCAGUGGGAUAUCAAUAAAUUUAAAUAUAAUAAUAAUUUUGGGCAUUGGGGAGGUUGUUGCUUUCAGUGCAAGCUUGAAUGUUAAAACAUGGUGAGAACUUGGAAGAGGUAUUAAGCUGCCCACUUGAAUAAAUUUUCGUCUUACAAUAAGAAAGGAAGGGGGCAGAAAAAGAAUGGGAAAUUUCAUAGAACCAUAGAAUCAUAGAGUUGGAAGAGACCACAAGGGCCAUCGAGUCCAACCCCCUGCCAAGCAGGAAACACCAUCAGAGCACUCCUGACAUAUGGUUGUCAAGCCUCUGCUUAAAGACCUCCAAAGAAGGAGACUCCACCACACUCCUUGGCAGCAAAUUCCACUGUCGAACAGCUCUUACUGUCAUUUCUUCAUGCCCAGGCUUUUGUAGUGUUCCUGGUUCUGCAAGGGGAUGGGGCAGAGGGGCAAGAAGAAUCUAAAUGCAUAAUAAAUAAGAGCGUACUUUGGAGAUCAAGGGGAAAAGGAGGAGAGAGGCAGCUUGCUUUCAUCUACUUUGGGGGUUCUCACACGGUCUGCGUUCCUUGAAUCCUUUGUCAAGCCCCUCUCAUCUCCCCACCCCCAGUCCACAGAUUAUGAAGCGGUCCAGUGUGUCUGUAGCUCUCUGACACCCUGCAAACUGGUCUUGCUCUACCUCAGGCUGCCCUAAAAGCUAACAGGGAGGUUUUACUGCAAUACACGAGCCAACCAGAUUGCAAGCAACCCUGUCUGUGCUUCUUUUCCUCUAUGCGAGAGCAGGGAGUGAGCUGAUGUUGUGAGAUUAGGGCUGCAGUCCUGGCAACGCAUACUUGGGAGUAAGCCCCAUAGAUUUCAACAGGACUUAACUUGCUUCUGCGGAGCUGUGGUUAGGGAUGGCACUGCGAAUCUGUAGCCAAGCAGCCCUGAGAGAGCGAGGCGCAGGCACGGUGAUGCCAAACACUAAAAGAAAUGCAAAAGGGGAAGCAUAUAGAAAUGGACUAUUCCAAAGGCUGUGCCCUUUCCCAGACCACAACUGCCCCCCACCCUGCCCCAAGGCUAUACGCAGCCUUGAUUGCAUUGCCCGGCUGGAAUGCGUCCCUGAACUUCUGCAUGCCUGGAAGCAGGAUGGAAAACUCAGAGAAUGGUCUAAUUGCAAUAGAGAAAACUGUUGUUAAGUCCAAGUGCUAAUUUUCCCCCAAAUCACAUUUGAUGUCCAAAUAUAUCAUAGUACUUCUUUAUUACAUAAAAUUAUUAAUUUUAAAAAAAAAUUAAAGUUUGAGUUCAUUCCCUAUCGGGGAACAUUCCUUUUAUAUAGCACAUUCUGAGCAGCAUUGGUGAAAUGGGUAUUUUUCGGGUUCCUGCAAUAGAUUUCCAAAUGCGCCCUGGCCUGUGGUGACAUUUAGCGAAGGUUGCCAACUUUCCAGUUAGUCUCUGAAGUCGAGCCUUUCACAACAGCAGACAUAAGCGCAUGAUACCUUUUAUCUCCAUAAUGCGAAAAGCAUCAUCGAUUUAUUACUACGUAUCAAGCUGCUCCUAAAAGCAUGCAUGUAAAGCCCAGAUUGAAAAAUUGGCACAGCUAGGCUUAUGAAACUGAUUGGGAAAGUGGCCUGGCUUGCUUGUGUGCCUCGAACAGUACAUUGAUCUGCAGAAAAUAAGCAGCAGAAUACUUUCCCCAGCAUGGAGGCUUCCCCUUCACUGAAGCAUUGUACUGUCAUGAGAAAAGGUGGACUGGUGAAAUUCUUGCUUCCAUGCAACUGUUUAGAGGCUCUGGAGCUGGCAACUGUGUAAGUAUCUGGUUAUAGCAUUAGAGAAGGACCAGGUAUGCCUAGGUUCGAAAUAACUGUUCAGAGCAACCUACAUCGCAGGGUUGUUGUUUGACUAAAAUAAGGAAGGAGAACUGUCUGCUCUACCUGACCUCCUCUGAUAAGAAACAAACAAACAAACAAAAAUGAAGUUACAAACAGUCUUUCAGAACAGCUGUAAGCUUUUUCUGUCUAGUCUUGCUUUUGCAAAUGCAAACCAGAUGUAGAUUUGGGUUGUGCCUGUGUCAUGUGUUAUGUGCAACAGGAUUUCAGCUAGAUUUAUCAGUAGCGUGGCCAGUUAUGCAUUUCCUAAAGAAGAAAUACGAUGUCCCCCAAAAUUGGACAAAAUGGGGCACAGAUUUGCAUAAAAUGGGCACACGCUAAUUUAUGCCUAUUUAGAAAGCCGCUGUGGGUUAAACCACAGAGCCCAGGACUUGCCGAUCAGCAGGUCGGCGGUUCAAAUCCCCACAACGGGGUGAGCUCCCAUUUCUUGGUCCCUGCUUCUGCCAACCUAGCAGUUUGAAAGGACAUCAAAGUGCAAGUAGAUAAAUAGGUACCGCUCUGGCGGGAAGGUAAACGGCAUUUCCGUGCGCUGCUCUGGUUCACCAGAAGCGGCUUAGUCAUGCUGGCCACAUGACCCGGAAGCUGUACGCCAGCUCCCUCGGCCAAUAAAGCAAGAUGAGCGCUGCAACCCCAGAGUCAGUCACGACUGGACCUCACGGUCAGGGGUCCCUUUACCUUUAACUAGAAAUUAUUACAGGCAACUCCCCAUGUAGGCGGAGGUUACAUUUCUGGGUAAAUCGCAUAAAGUGGGGAACACCAUCUAAGAAGCCUAUAAACACCCUCUAACCUUGGUGCAAGGGCUCCUGGGAUUGCUAGCCAUUUCCCCGCUUUUCCCACACCAUUUUUAUUUAUUUUUUUGCAGUUUUCCUACUCUUUUUGGGCCAUUCUCCCCCACCACAUUUUUGCACAAGUCAAACAUGCAUUAAGUGGGAGACAUAUUGUAUUUCUAUUUAAAUGGUAGUAGAGGAGGUGGGGGAGACGGUGAAGCUGUGGAUUUUUUCAAUCUGCUGUUCAGAUGCUGGCAACUCCAAGGCCCCUGUUGUGCUUUCCUGUAGUUAUCUUUAAACUGGAUUAGACCUUCAAUAGAUGCCUCCUUCAGAUAAGAGGACUGCCCUUUUAUAAAUUCGGACAAAUGGCCUCACUGCGGUUGGCAUGUUCGGUUUAGAUCACAGUUCCUGAACAGUGAUCAGUUCAAAAGGCGAAACUGAGACCACACAAAAAGUGCUGUUUUUGCAGAAAAGUAUUUCCUUAAAGGACUCCCUUCAAAUGCUUAUCUGAAGCAGUUAAUUUCAUCAUUGUCAUUAUGGUGAACUGGGUUGAACGGAUGCAAUGGAGGAGGGGGUUCCUAUAUCUUCCACGGUUGCACAGAAGAGGAAAUUUCAGCCAGAGGAGAACUAAUAUAUUUCUGUGCCUGAGGCAGAAAGUCCAAGUGGCCUCUGGCAAUGAUAAAAUCCCAUUAAAUAGCUGGCAAAUGGUCCUCUAAUGUUAUCACAAUAUCUGCCAUUUGAGACAGGCUGAAUGUCAAACAGCUUUUGACAUGAUUCCUCCUUCUGGACAACUUUUAGAAGUACAGAUCUGUGUCCUUCUUUGCCUGAUGCACAGGAAAGAAAAAUAUAACGGUGGGGAGGUUAACUUAAAGGCAGCAAGCCUCUAGAUUUCUUGAAUUAUCUCUUACUGUUCUGCUCCAGAAGAGCACCAGGGCAAACUAAUCUUGUUGAACUAAAAGAAAGCAUGUUUUUCGCAGAAGCAAAGAGGUUUACAUUUUGCAGGUGCCUACGACACCCUUGGAAAGAUAAGAGCAGCAGGCAGGGAUCCUAUGAUUUGCCCUCUGGGUCUAAUUAUAUUAUAUAUUCAUGACAAAGACACUAAUUGCUUAAUUAUAAUUAAUUGUUAUUAUAGGUUUGAUCUGGAACCCAAAGCAAGGGUGUUUAGGAUUGGUGAAAACAAACAUCAAGCUAGUUGUCUUCUUUGAAAAAUCCAGACUAAAUCAUUAAUUGAUGUCACAAGCCUGCCUGAGGGCUCUGUGGAGGCUCACGACGUUAAGAAUAAAUGUAGCCUUCUUGGCUCAUAAGAAAAAUUCCAGAGGAAUAACAACAACAAGGUCAAUGCACAGUUAGGGGAAAAUAUUUGACAGCAAACAUAGCUUAUUGGCUGAUUUUCAAUACUUAUAUUUACAUCCUGCACAUUUGGUCCAGAGUAGCUAACACAGCAUAUUUGAAAUAGCAAAUCAUAUUAAAAUAAUAGUGGUGAUGAUGCAAAAAGCAAUUCAGCUUUGGAAAACCAGGUGACAAUUUAAAGCAGGUCGGCAUUUGAACUACAGUGGUACCUCGGGUUACGUACUUAAUUCGUUCCGGAGGUCUGUUCUUAACCUGAAACUGUUCUUAACCUGAAGCACCACUUUAGCUAAUGGGGCCUCCCGCUGCUGCUGCAUUGCCACUGCCGCACAAUUUCUGUUCUCAUCCUGAAGCAAAGUUCUUAACCUAAGGUAAUAUUUCUGGGUUAGUGUUGUCUGUAACCUGAAGCAUAUUUAACCUGAAGCAUAUAUAACCCAAGGUACCACUGUAUUCCCAAAAUUCCAGACUCAGAGAGCGCCUAGUAAGCCGUUCAGUUCAGCACCCACCCUGCCGUGACAGAUGCGCUCUCCAGCUUCUGCUUAAAGAUGGACAAUCCUCUCUGUUUCUGGGUAAUAGUUCCAUUGUCAAACUGCUCUUACUAUCAAUAUGUUUCUCCUAACGUUUCACCAAAAUUUACCCUCCAUUAGAUCUAGUCCUCCUGCCCUCUGGGGGCAGCAGAGGUCAACUCUUUGCCCCCUUCCAUGUGACAGAUCCAAUAGCCCUUGCGGCAUCCAACUGGCCAUCUCCAGAAAGCAAGCAGGGAGGAAAAGACUUGAAAUAUACACCAUUUUAACUUCUUCCUUAGACAUGUUGAGUGAGGGGACCUGCGGACUUCCCAAUGUGGUGAAUUUCAUAACCCGGACACUGCUACCAAGAAGGCUACAAAGAGGAAGGUACCGUAUUUUUCGCCCUAUAGGAUGCACUUUUUCCCCUCCAAAAAUGAAGGGGAAAUGUGUGUGCGUCUGGGGGGGGGGAAUAUAUAUUUUUUAUUUCCCCCCCAAAAAAAACUAGGUGCGCCCUAUGGGCCGAAAAAUACGGUGCAUCUCCUGCUUAUUGCCGUGUGUGUCAACUUGGAAGGAAGAAGAUGGCCCAAUGGAUAAACCUAGUCCCAAGCAGUUGAGGUCUUAAGGCAGUAACCAGCAUCUUGAAAUACAGUUCAUUUCCUCUUGCAUGAAAAUGGGUCUUGGUUUAAAUUGUUACCUGGUAUUUCAAAGCAAUAAGGGCCCUUUAAGGGUUUGAACACCCAAACCUCAGCAUAUAAAUAUUUACCCAAACACAUCUGCCUGAAGAAUGCUCUAAAAACGGCCAGCUUUGUAGCCUAAUGUCGGCGGGCUUCAUCUCUGGGGACUUCAGUGUGACAUGGAAAGUGUGCGCAUACAGAUGCAUGCACGCUGCUCCCAACACACACACACACACACACACACACACCAUCCAAUUUCUUUUUUUAAAAAAAAGGAUUGUGGGGUGUAAUUCAACAUCACCAGGGGUAGUGGCCCACGGGGGUCGUUUAACUGGCCCACGAGCCGCCCCCAAACCGAGCCGCCCCCUCAGCGAGUUCCCAUGUGCUGCGCUAAACCGGCACCAGGACUCGCUUCUGCAGCACCAGAACUCCUGUCUACACAGACACAGAUGCUGGAAAUCACGUCUGUGCAGACGCAGACACCAUAAAUCAUGGGCGCGCGCACUCACGCACGCGAUCCAGCCCACGGAGGGGGUUCCGCGGCAGUGAACCGGCCCAGGCAAGGUAAACCUUGCCGACCCCUGAACAUCAGUUAAGAUGGCUGUUCUCUCAGCACAAGCCUUUCUGGUUGUCAGACAGGAUAAGCUCUCCUCUCCUCUCCUCCACUCCACUCCAUGCCAUGUUUUCUGGGUUUUCCUGACCUUCCCAAGCAGAAUUGGGGAAGGCGGGGGGGGGGAAGGUGGGUGUAGGGGGAAAGUCCCACUGCACUAGCAGGACUCAUUGUACUGGUUUCGGGUAACAGGGAUGGUGGAUAUGCAUCAAGUACAGGGUUGCCAUAUUUCAAAAAGUGAAAAUCAGGUCACAUAAAAUUGUUGAGCUUUCCCCCCCCCGGUAAAUCUCAAAUGAAGAAGAAGAAGAAGAGGAAGAAGAAGAAGAAGAAGAAGAAGAAGAAGAAGAAGAAGAAGAAGAAGAAGAAGAAGAAGCAGCAGCAGCAGCAGCUCUUGAGCUAUUUUUAAGGGAAAUCGCCAAAAUCUAGACUUCCGACAUGUAUUAGCCAUAUGUCCGGAUUUUCCCGGACAUUUCAGCGAUUUCCGCCCGGACACUUUUCCGACUGCCAUAUUCUGGAUUUGUCCAGGAAAUUCCAGACGUAUGGCAACCCUAAUACUUCAGCAUACAUACCAUGGUAGGCCUGUGUAUUUCGGACUGGUAAAUGCAUGGAUUGGAUCUUCAGCCACAACUUAAUCAAUGUUUUUAACAGCUACCAGACAGUGAACAUAUGUAGAUGGAUAUUUACUAUUCCCAACCAAUGAAUUGCUUUAUAUAUAAAUUUCAAGGCAAUUUGCGAUAAGAACAAUUUAAGAAAAAAACAAGGAACAACUAAAGAUAUGAAUUACAGAUCCAUACCCAAAGCAGCUGGAACAGCUUUUUGAAACAACCCCCCCCCACUUGUUUCCAAAAAAUACACAUAGUAGGUGCAAGUUCUGAAUGGGAAUUCCUGCUCCACAAAAUAUACUCCGUCAGGGAUGUAGCUGAGCAUUUUUUUUUUUAUAAGAUAUUUAUUGAAAUUUUCAAAGUAUUACAAAAUAAAAUAGAAGCAGUAGAAAGUAGAAAAUAAAAAUAGUUAACAAAGUAGAAAAAGACGAAAAGAAAAAAAACAAACCGCUUCCAACCAUAUGAAUACAAAUUCAAAAAUAAGAAAAAGUGACAAAAGAAAAAAUACAAAAAUACAUCACAAACAAUUAAAAACAUUUAAAAACAAAUUCAUUAUUCUCAAAUCCUCAACUGUCAUUACCUUCUUUCUUUGACCUCCUCCUCCUCCCUUUCUUUGUAUCCUAGUUAUUAAUUAUCCCAGCAAAUCCUUUCCAUAUUUCAUAAUAUUCUGUCAUUACAUUACCAAAAACUAUUUUAAUCUUAUCUUACUAUAAUAAAAUAAACCUUAAAACUUAAAUCUUAUCCUUACCCAUUUCUCAUAACCAAAAUAUUCUUUCAUAAUUCUUUAAACAUCUUUACUAAAGCCAAGUAAUUUCAUUCCAACAUUUUUCUGACAUUCAUCAAUUUUAUAAAACAGUUCUAAUGGUAGAAAAAAGAUACAAACAGAUCCAAUCUUCAUCCAACGUCCUUUCCUCCUGGUUCCGGGUUUUGUCAGUCCUUAUUAUCCCGUCGAUCUAGCCCAUUAACCUGGCAGCCUUAUAUCCGAGGCCCUCAAGUCUCUUCCAUGUCCCUUCCGCAGCUCUUCUUCAUAUUUGUAACUGUAUUUUCCCUUGUCUCCUGCUCGUGAUAACUCCAGCUUGACAAUAUUUUUAACCCUUCUCGACAGAUCAGCCCCUUUUCCAUAUUCAACACUGAAUUCCAUAUGGUAUUUAAAAGCAUGUUUCAAAGACCCUCCAAAAUUAAAAUUAAGAGCCCCCACAAUCCCAAACAUCUCACGGCCCAUUGCCAGAUUUGAAAAGUCCAAACAUCCCAGCAUAGGGGGGUCAAUCCAGCCCCCCAUUUCCAAGCCAAACCAAACUUUUUCUUUCCAAAUCUGGCUUUUUCCAAGUUCAUUUGUCAAAUCCGAAAACUCAUAUUCCUGUUGGGCCUGUUCUGUCAGGACACACUCCUGAUUUAAUUCCUGAGUGGGCUCCACAUAUUUUCCCACUGUCUGUUCAAAAUUUCCCACUGCCUGUUCAAAGUUUCUAGUCGAAGUCGCCAUCCAAUUCACCUUCUCAUGUAACUGUUCCAGUAGGGCAUUUGUUUUAUAGAAAGCACACAACAAAGCUUCUGAAUACAUUGUCCUGCAAGGUCAGAUGCCUGUUCCCACGAUUGUAAUCUGUAACAGCUGCCGGCUCCCUGGAGUUGGUUACAGUUUCACAGUCUCCCUCUAGGGGGAAAACUUCUAUUUGUUCUUGCAACAAAGUUUCCCUUUUUGAGAUACUUUGUCAAUAUUUGUUGCUUAAAGAUGCGAAGGGAAGCAGUGGAAUCGCUAUGUUUCUCUUCUUUUAGCUAUCUGUCAAAAACGCUUGUCUCUGGUCAAUGAACUUCAAACGUCAGUCCUGACACCCCGCUCCAGGAUCAGGACGGAGGAAAGUUACUUUACUUUAAACUCACUUUAAACAGUCCGAAAAAGAUCCCCCUCCUUCUCCUGCUGUCGAAGGGGGGUUCCACAAUUUUAAAUGAUGAAAUCCAAUCCUUUAAAGGCGAUUUUCUAAGCUCUAGUUUACAUUGUCUUUGCUUUAUUCUGUCUACAAAAGAACAGAAGGCUGACUUCCUGUUUAGACCUUCCUGUUCCGUACCAAAUUAAAAUAGGUUUUUAAAAUCCAAUUCCUUUCUGCUCACAAGUCCUUAUUUGAUGUCCAGUUGUUCAAAGUCUGAGUACUCACGGGUGCUUAUUUUAGAGUCCAAAUUGUCCCAGGAAAAAGGCAGCGCUCUCCGGCAACGGCUAUGCGGCUUCGCUCCACGGAAAUAGCAGUUGACUCACAGCACCGCGCCACUUCCUCCUCUUCACUUCGGAGCCCGUUAGUGCGAGUUGGGGGGGCGCUAAGGGUGCCCGCCGAGUCCCAUGGUCACAGGCUUCAUCCGCCUGUGAUUUUUAAGAGGGUCCCCGCUUCGCCGUAGCGGAGAAGACCCGUUUCCCGCGGAGCUAGUCCCUCCUGUUCAGAGGGAGUCCGCCAUUGCCGAUGGCGCCACUCUGGAAGUCCAGGGAUGUAGCUGAGCAUUGCUGCCUCUUUCUAUGAAGAAGAAGAGUUUGGAUUUGAUAUCCCGCUUUAUCACUACCCGAAGGAGUCUCAAAGCGGCUAACAUUCUCCUUUCCCUUCCUUCCCCACAACAAACACUCUGUGGGGUGAGUGGGACUGAGAGACUUCAGAGAAGUGUGACUAGCCCAAGGUCACCCAGCAGCUGCAUGUGGAGGAGCAGGGAAUCAAACCUGGUUCACCAGAUUACGAGUCUACUGCUCUUAACCACUACACCACGCUGGCUCUCUAUGAGCAGCGAUGUCACCUGCUAGAACACAUGGGGAAGUGAAGAAUGUUGAAUGAGCUACUGAAUUCUUCCUGAGAAUUUUAGCCUCUUUUUUUAAAGUAGGUUUCCAGCACUUAAGACUAGAAAAAUAUGCAUGGAAGUGAACGAGCAAUGCCUCUUUCCAUGAUUAGCUAAAGCAGAUUAAAUUAUGCAGAGUGAGGAAUUCCUCUCUUGAAAUAUAAAGCAGCUGCUUCCAAGACUGAAAAUUCAUUAGCGUUUCAUCCUAGAAAAUAAUGGCUUUUUAAUGAAAACAGAAUAAGAAACAGAGGGCUCUUGGCUGAUUUGCUAUGGCAUACAAUAAAAUUAUUGUUUUGCUUCCUCCUCAUCCAGGGGGCUUUUCUCCAUAAAGCAAACAUGAAUUGGGACAUUGCUUGCUUGCUUCCUGUAGCAGAUCUUAAAAAGGCAUCACAUGUCUUCAUAUGGAGCGCAAGGAGUUUUCUGUCCAUUCAACAGCUUCCUUUUGAAUGGUAUCUUUAUAAUUCAUCUGAUUGCUUAGUAACGUAAAAUGCUGGCUGCAUUAUUGGUCAGAUAUUGGGAUUUGAGUUCGGGCUGCUCUUGCCAAUAAUUGGCAAGAAGGAAAAAGAAACCCACCGCAACCUGGUCUGCUUCUGAGCCCAGUGAACAGAGUUUUGACAUGCAGAAAUGAGCAGGUGAAGCUUUUCCCAGCUCAGAGGAUGAUCACCCACCAAAUAGAGACCGUAGAUCAAAUGACAGGGACAGCUUUAAGAGUUGGCACCCUAACGACAUAUAGGCUGUAUAAUAUUAUACGGGAUUAGGGCUGGAUCUAGACACAUCAAAGAAGUGUUUCAGUUUAAAGCGUUGUAAAUUUAAACAGGGAAAACAGGUGGAGAAAAACGGGGCUUCACGUCGCCAUCUGGUGGCACAAUAUUAUAUUGCACAUGCAACGCAUAUACAGUGGUACCUCAGGUUAAGUACUUAAUUCAUUCCAGAGGUCCGUACUUAACCUGAAACUGUUCUUAACCUGAAGCACCACUUUAGCUACUGGGGCCUCCUGCUGCCGCCACGCCGCCGGAGCACGAUUUCUGUUCUCAUCCUGAAGCAAAGUUCUUAACCUGAAGCACUAUUUCUGGGUUAGUGGAGUCUGUAACCUGAAGCAUAUGCAACCUGAGGUACCACUGUAAAUGACUUUUUCUUUACCAGUCAAUAUAUCUGAAGGAGUGAUGAAUGGAAAGAAGAACUCUUUCAAAGCACCAACACCAAGAACUCCCCAAUUGUGCUUUCAAGAUGACUAAUGCAAAUUAAUAAAAUGCUUCAAUGUUUAUUUAUUUUAAAACAAUGGGUUUUUGUUGUUGUUAUUUUUAGAUUUGUGUGUAUGGAUAGAGUUAGCCUAGAAAGACGGACUUGGAGACCAAAGACUGUCAAGAAAAUAUAUGGGAAACAAGAGAGAUGUGGGGACUGCUCAGGCUACAGAAGUUGCCAGGUCACACAAUCCAAAGAUUCUUGUCACUUUCGCAAGUCCUCAGCUGCUGAGAAAGAUACAGCUUCUGCAGUCCUGCUUCUCCCUCCCAUCCUUGUGAAGGCUAAAACAACAAGAGUCUUCCAUGCUCUAGCACAGGAUGGAAAGGUCCUCAAGAAGUUGAAGGACUCCAAACUCCCACCAUCCCCAAACAGCAUAGGCCAAUGGCACACCUUCCAACAUUUCUCCAAUGAAAAUAGGGAUGUCCCAUUCCAUAAUGAUAAUUUUACUAUCUAAACCCCACAUAUCUUAUUGGGUUGCUCCAGUCACUCUGGGCAGCUUCCAACAUAUAAAAAAAAAUUAAAAACAUUAAACAUUUUUUAAAAAAACAUUUCCCUGUACAGGGCUGCCUUCAGAUGGCUCGGGGGUUGGAUAACUCCAUACCCUCCAACAUUUCUCCAAUGAAAAUAGGGACAUCCUAAGAAAAAGCGGGACAUUCCAGGAUCAAAUCAGAAACUGGGAUGGCUUCUCUAAAUCAGGGACAUCCCUGGAAAAUAGGGACACAUGGAGGGUCUGCAAUGGUCAGGGUUGGUGAGCAUUGCAGCCCAGCAACAUCUGAAGGGCCCAACCCUGACCUAGGAAAGUGGUGGGGAGGUGUGGGGUGUGAUGAGAUAAAUAAAAAUGUGGGUGAGACAGAAGAAGCCAUAGCUUUAUCCUCUUCCACAGCCCCCUGUUUUAAGACACUGCAGGUUCUCCAGGUUGUCAUCUGCACUCGCUCUAAAUACUAUUUCUGUAGCAAAAUCUUUUUGUCAGUAUUGGAGGAGUAAGAUUGCUGAUAAUUUCCUCUGCCAGCUCUAGAGUAAUGGAGGGGAAAUUUAUUACCCAAGUUGCAUUGUGUCCUAACAAACAUCUGAUAAACUCAGAUCAGGCACAGCGAUUACAGCUGCAAUCCUACCUCUGUUGCGAAAUAGCUCCAUUGAAUACAAUGGGACUGACCUCUAAGCAAACACGCAUGGGGCUGUUGGUCUAGAACAGGGAUAGGCAACCUAAGGCCUGUGGGCCGGAUGCGGCCCAGUCGCCUUCUCAAUCCAGCCCAUGGACGGUCCGGGAAUCAGCGUGUUUUUACAUGAGUAGAAUGUGUCCUUUUAUUUAAAAUGCUUCUCUGGGUUAUUUGUGGGGCCUGCCUAGUGUUUUUACAUGAGUAGAAUGUGUGCUUUUAUUUAAAAUGCAUCUCUGGGUUAUUUGAGAGGCAUAGGAAUUCAUUCAUUUCCCCCCAAAAAAUAUAGUCCAGCCCACCACAUGGUCUGAGGGAUGGUGGACCGGCCCAUGGCUCAAAAAGGUUGCUGACCCCUGGGCUAGAAUAUACUCCUUCAGGAACUAAUUUUGAAUGGCUCUCAGGUAUUUUACCUUUCUGAGCUGCAGCCCACUGUUUUUGCUUGAUCUCAGCUGAAUACAAAACAUGUGAAAAAGCACUUUUGAUGGAAUUCCCUAAGCUGGCUGGUGGGCAGAGGGGGAUCCAGUUAUCCUCUCUCCUUUUUGCUUGUGGUGGGUUGUGGGGUCUGUGUGUAUCACAGGAGCCAGCAGUGCUGUGUCUGAUCAUGCUUAUCAACCCCAUACAUGCAAUUGCUGUUGAAAGGAAUGGGAAUUAUGUGUGUUUUGAUGUGAUAACUGGAGUUGACAGAUGCCAGGCUAGAAGGGGCCUCUCUCUCUCUCUCUCUCUCUCUCUCUCUCUCUCUCUCUCCCCCUUUAAGACCUCAGGAGCAAAGACUUCCUGCCCCCACCUUCCCUAACCAGCUGCUGCUGCUGCUGCUGCUGCUGCUGCAUUCUCUACACUCACCUCUCUGGGUACAGGCUCUGCAAUUCACAACCUCUGUGGUUUCAACAGUCUUAUUUUGCUCGAACUCCUUUAAGGAACCUGGAAAGCAAAGACCUUGAAAAGUGUUGCUCUUUGCUUAUGAGGAUUCAGUUGAACCCAGUCAGAACAAGCUGUUGGAAUUUCUGCUCUGGGCGGCUUUGCAAAGGAUGCUAUCACUUAGCGCAGGGGGUAAGGAGUAUCUUUUUAUAGCCUGAGGACCACAUUCACUACUGGACGAUGUUCAGGGCCUUUGCCUCUUUUUAUUCCCCCGCAAUCUUGUUUGACGCACCUGAGCUUGCUCCAACUGAGUAGCUGUGUCUCGCCCCUUAACAAAGCAUGUGAUCGUCACCUGCCCUCCCCCCCCCCAGCUUAAAAAAGCUGAGUGACCGCAAACCUCCUCCCGGACCCAACAAGUCUCGUGAUCUCCACCUGAUAGGCUAGUAAGCGGGGCUGUGUUCUCUCGCCUACCUCAAUCUCUUAAAGCGUACUUGCUGCUGCGCCAAGCACCUCAGAGCCCAUCGUGUUCACGGAGAUGGGGGAAGCACCUCUGGUUCUGGUGAUGUGUCAACUUCCCUUGGUUCCUGCAAACUGUCAAUUGUGACUUUGAUGUCCACUGAGAACCUCUUAAACCCCCAACUUCCCUUCCUGAUUCUGCAUCUUCAGCUUGUGUGUACCAAUCGUGGCUACACCCCGCGCAUUUGCUCUAGUAACGGAAGAAGGCUUUGUGGCGCUGGGUGCUUUGUUAAUGCAGGGGUCAGCAAACUUUUUCAGCAGGGGGCCAGUCCACUGUCCCUCAGACCUAUAUAUAUAUAUAUAUAUAUAUAUAUAUGUAUUUUUAUUAAAGAUUUUCUUGAUUUACAGAAGUGUGUGUGAUGUCUCUCUCUUGUAUUUUUUCCAUGUAACAUUUUUACAAAUCAGUUUCAUUUGUUGAGACAUUAGGAAGAAAAGGGGUGAGAGGGGUAGGGGGUGGCGAUGUUUCUAUUUUGCUUAAUGUAUGUAGGGUUUGGUGUCAGCGUUGCUUGUGCAGGUUCUCUGCUGUUCACUUCUGUUCCUUUGGUGGUGAGAGAGGUUGGGGUUGGCCUAGGGUGUGGUUGCUUGUUUGUGAUUGGCUGUGGUGAUCUUUGUUUUCAUGUGUGAGUGGGGUGGGUGGGUGUUUUGGAUCAGGUUAGGGCUGGGCUAUAUUUAUUUUGAGGGAGGGGAAUGAUCGAAUUCCUAUGCCCCACAAAUAACCCAGAGAUGCAUUUAAAAUAAAAGCACACAUUCUACUCAUGUAAAAGCAAGCUGAUUCCCGGACCAUCCACGGGCCAGAUUUAGAAGGCAAUUAGGCCGGAUCCGGCCCCUGGGCCUUAGUUUGCUUACCCAUGUGUUAGAGCAUUAGUUAACUAGAGCAUUUGUGAUUUCAGGACUGGAACUUGCUGGCUGACUGGGGAAUGGGUCCAUGGGAGCCAUUUCACAUCAUGCAAGGCAAUGAAGAUGCCUUAGUGCUUCCCAGGUUUUUGCUCAAGUGCUGCUGUGUAGCACAGUAUGUUUGCAAAUGCUUUGGGACACAUCACCAAGAGCAGCUGCUGCGCCGUCUUCUGCUCUGCCAGGGAAUGUAAAGACACACCUCCGAUUAUUGGGUAGAUGCAGACUAGCAUCCAGGGCGCUUCCAGACUAUUGCUAUUUUCAUCUGGGAUUCAAUCACAUCCUGGCAAAUUCAGGUUGCACAAUUGUUGCUGACUGGGAGGCCUUAUAUGAUGAACUCACUCCCCAAAAUAAAUUAAAAAUUAAAAAAGUUAUCCAGUAGCACCACCUUGGAGACCAACUAAGUUUGUUCUGGGUAUAAGCUUUUGUGCGCAUGCACACUUCUUCAGAUACUUCCCAAAAGAGUGGGCUUUCCAAUCAGCUCAGAGGAAACAAAAUAAUUCUGUGGAGACUGGGGGUGGAAGGGAAGAGAGUUAGAAGGAAUUUGGUUUAAGAUCCCAGUUGAACUUUUGCAACAAGGGAAGGAGCAAGAAAAUGCACCGGAAUGUGUGGGAUAACACCGGCUUUGAUGCAAUGUCAUCUAACCUCCCCACAAUCAAAUCAGGACGAAUGCUCGGUCAACAAGUUGCCUGGAUGCGCCCAUCACCAAAGUGUGGAGCUCCCCUGCAAAAAGUGGUGGACCUACAUUUGGGGGGUCCUGAAGCUUCAACUGUCAUGGGCCCCCCUUUGCAUCCAGCCACGGAGUCUGUUAUCUUCUUCAACGGAGUUCUUCCACAACAGAUGACCACAAAUUUAUUACACCUGUGCUGCUGACUCUCAAACUUUGGGAUUGCUGAAAUUUAUCCAACAACCACAAAUCAAUUGAUUUGAGUUGUUCGACUAAAGUUAGGUCUGCUUGCUAGACCCAAAUUUGUUAAACAAUGUGGACUAAAGUCACUUCUGGGGCCCCUCCAGGAUUAGAGGCCCUGAAGCUUAAGCGUCAUUACUUUCCUACUAGAUCCUUCCCUGCCUGAAAGUGCUUACAUGGCAAACAGCACAUUGGAAAGUGAUGGCAUGCUCAGGUUGCCACACAUGUCAGCUCAUAGGGAGCUGCUUUAUGUGCAUUUCGUUCAGUAUUAUCUACUCAGCGCAGGUGGCACUGUGGUCUAAACCACUGAGCCUCUUGGGCUUGCCAAUCAGAAGGUUGGUGGUUCAAAUCCCCGCAAUGGGGUGAGCUCCCAUUGCUCUGUCCCAGCUCCUGCCAACCUAGAAAUUCAAAAGCAUACCAGUGCAAAUAGAUAAAUAGGUACCGCCGCAGCAGGAAGGUAAAUGGCAUUUCCGUCAUGGUGUUCCAUUGCACCAGAAGCAGUUUAGUCAUGCUGGCCACAUGACCUGGAAAGCUGUUUGUGGACAAAUACCAGCUCCCUCGGCCUGAAAGCAAGAUGAGCGCCACAAUCCCAUAGUCAUCUUUGGACUUAACCAUCCAGGGGUCCUUUACCUUACUCAGCACUGACUGGCAGCAGCUCUCCAGGGUUUCAGACGAGCCAGCUGGAGAUGGCAGGGAUUGAACCUGACACAUUUUGCAGACGCGGGUGGUGCUGUGGGUUAAACCACAGAGCCUAGGACUUGCCAAUCAGAAGGUCGGUGGUUCGAAUCCCCAUGACGGGGUGAGCUCCCGUUGUUCGGUCCCAGCUCCUGCCAACCUAGCAGUUCGAGAGCAUGUCAAAGUGCAAGUAGAUAAAUAGGUACUGCUCCAGCGGGAAGGUAAACGGCAUUUCUGUGUGCUGCUCUGGUUCGCCAGAAGCGGCUUAGUCAUGCUGGCCACAUGACCUAGAAGCUGUACGCCGGCUCCCUCGGCCAAUAAAGCGAGAUGAGCGCCGCAACCCCAGAGUCGGUCACGACUGAACCUAAUGGUCAGGGGUCCCUUUACCUUUACUUAAGUGCCCUGACACUGAGUUAUGCCCUCCCCCUCCCCCCCCCCCGUGUCCCCACUCACUGUGUCAGUGAGUGAAUGUGAGAAGCAACCCUCUUUUGUGUGGAACCAGCAGGAUCAGACAUGUGACACUUUCUACUGAAAAGGUUAGCAUGUUUUAUUACCUGGUGUGAGCAAAACAAAAUAAUGGCUCCCAAUCUUGUGUAGAAACUCCAGAUGUGGCAAUCCCUCUGCUGGCAAACAGACCUGUUUAUCCCCAUACACUAAAUUAGCCCCUGCUACUAAAACAAGCUGAAACUUCCUUCCACCCCAUGUAGCCAGAUGUGUAUAAAAUAAGCUCUUUCCCCCCACCAUUCAUUCCCCAACUCCUUAACCGCCCUGCUGCUGUCUCUAAAAUGCACUUUCUAUAUAACACACGGCAGAGACUGGAACAUUUGCUUUCAGAACUUGGUUGUUGUUAUGAAAAGAUUUAAGUCAGGAUUACAACAAAGUCUGAACAAACAUGAUGUUUAGGAACAGUUCUUCCCAUGAUUUUGCUAGCGCUAUAGAAGAGCAGCUUUUGCAUUCUGUUCUUGCGUAUCACUUUGAUCCGACACGCUUUGACCUGAUAAUAAAUCCCACUGAAUGAAAUGGGAAUUGCUUCUGAGUGGACAUGCAUAGGAUUGCAGGCUAAGUUGUCCUUAUUUAAAGAGUUGUCCUUAUUUAAAGAGUUGUCCUUAUUUAAAGAGUUGUCUCUUAUUUCAAAGCUCCAGGAGAUAACAGACACAAAACGGUGAAGCAAGGUUUCUGCACGGUGGCUGACAUGGAAGGGCGAGUCAGGAGGAUGGAGGAGAUGGGGGUGAGGAUCCUGGCGCGCCCUGGGAGAAGACUUGCAAGCUGACCUGGAGCAUGAAUUUUUGAAAGACCCUGAACAUCAGGGCAGC